rnacentral:lncRNA from 1 species
CCCACUUGGAUUUUGUCUCUUCUUUCACAGCAAAGGCAGCUGCAGCAGCGCUGGAAGACUUUUCCGACAGGAGAGGUGCUUAGAAAUGGACGGGACGGCCCCUCUGCCCCCGGUGACAACUUGAUGUUCUCCUUUAGGCACGGAGAGAGCACGGUGGGGCACGGAGGUGCCGCCUUCCUCCUCCCUUAACCCACAAGUUUUCACCUUGGGGCUCUCCUGACACCUCCAGCUUUCCCACAAGCAGAUAUUUUUGCCUCAUUAACUUUUCCAAGCUGAUUCACUUCACAAAGAACACCCCCCUCCAGACCCCCCAUUGUACUGUGUUUAAUUUUAAAGGCAUAAAAAUAACAUCUCGCACUUGCGAGGUGGCCGGGGACGUGCACAGAGUGGGGUGUUUGGGUUUGGGAACCUCUCCAUGCCCAAGCUCUCAGCUGCAGCAUUCCCCCAUGGCCGUAGGAGCGGGCACGUUUCUCUCAAUUACCUCCCCGAUGGCCUCGUUCCAGCAACAAUUAGCAGCCUGCGAGGGACUCUGGUGUCCUGCCUUACAGCUUCCUAAUAUAAUUACCGCAGCAAAUGAGCAGCGAAUUAAAUCAAGGAGAAAGGCAGGGGGAGGAACCCGUUGUGUGUGCUGCCAGGGGUCAGCGCUCUGCUUGUCUCAAGGCAAAAAGGCACCACUUGGGCCCUGCCCAGCCAGGCAUCCCCAGCCUGGGGACCCUCCUGCCGAGCUGGAGGGAUGCUGCAGUGGUGAUUUACCCCGGGCAUCCUGCGUGCCAUCAUCCCCACCACCAGGGCUGAAGCUGUCACCUUCCCGACUGGCCGUCCUGCUGCUGAAAGGCACAAAAUGUGCAAGGCUUCCCCUUCGCCCACUGCCCUGACCUGCAGACCUUGGCUGAAAACCGUGAACAAACCUCUCGGAAGGCAGGGCUGGAGCAUCGGGACCUCGGAGGGAUUGUUUGGAUUGUUUUACAGAGACUGACCAUCUGCUGAAUUAUUUAGAGAAGUAAAUACAAGGCUCGGGAGGGAGAGCCCUGCCCCUGGGCUGGGGGAGCUUGGCAAAGUCUCCGGGCUUUCUGCAAGGCUUUGGGGAGGAGGCACCCAAAAAAUGAGGGGUCCGUGGACCAUGGGGGGCUGAAGCCAGUGACCACCUUGGGCAGCCUUUGCAUUGGAGUGGAUGUUUAGCAGUGACAGGGGCAGCUCCGGGACCCGUUGCUGGUGGGUGUCAGGCUGCCUGCCCCUUCCCCGUUCCCUUCAGCCCCUUCCCCUGCUCCUGCCGGUGCCCGACCCCAUCCCACAACAUCUCCCCGGAGCCCUGGUGUGAUGCCAGCCAGGGAACGAGCCAAGAACCUGCUGCCAGGGGCUCGGGUUGGAGUUCCUGGCUUGCUCUGGGAUUUCUCAGGCUGGAGGCAGGGAAGGGCUACGCCUUGUUCUUGCAUCACUGCAAAAGGACAAGAGGUGCCUUGCUGGCCAAGUGGGGCACAAAGCAGGCUGUUCUCCCACGGGCAGAACAGGGAAAAUAGUUCUCCACAGCCCCUCUGUUCAGCAGCUGGGACGGAGCUGUGCACCCUGAGGAAGAAGAGCCCUGUGGGGAGGAAGGUCGGGCUCUCGGUUGGGCUUACACCGGCUGCAAAGGGGUCCGGAGCCCCUCGCUCCCCUUCCCCAGGGCCGUGGGCACCGGGGAGCACAAAGCAGGGAGCGAGUCCUGCGCACGCAUCCUCUGCCCCGCAGGUUUCUGCUCCCUGAAGGAUUAAUUUGCGCAGGGAGAGGUUUGCAGCGGAGCUGACGUUAAUAACAGGCUGAGUUAGAGCCCCGCUGCGGAGCGGGAUGUUAAUGGCUCCGCGCGGCGAUGGAAGGGGGCUGUUAUUGAAAACGAUCUCUGGGCUGUUGGGUUUUGCUGAACCCUGGAAUUACAAGGGGUUUGUGGGGAGGUCGGAUCUCCCCUGCCGCCAUGGCAGGCAGGGGGGGCGGAUGGCUGCUGCCCCAGCCCGGCUGCAGUAAGGGGUGGUCAGGACACCAAAACCCCAGGAAAAUAUUCAUAUCUGCAGCCUGGCAAUGGGAUAAACCUUGAUUUUUCCUACCGGGCUGUUCGUGUGCUCUGGCAUAGCUUGGAAAAUCACAGCAUUGGUCCUGAGCAGCCGUGAAGGUGCAGGGAAGGGGGGGUGCAGGGGUGGGGGAUGCUGCGGAAGGGGGGUGCUGCAGGAAAGGGGACACGGCACUGCUGGGGAGCAGCCCACCGACGAGCACACGCCAUCCCCUCAAUGCCAUCUCAUCCCCAGGUCCCCUCCCUGAGCAGAGCACCGAGACUCCUGGUGGCUGCGGUUUUUACGGCUGCCCAUAAACAGUCCCCUCCAUCUCUCUCUCCGUUUUUAAUUACCUAGAAAAUAACCUCCAUUCAAUUUACAGCUCAUUUGAAGCUACGAGCAAGGGCCCAUAAAUAUUUAAUGUGUUUAGAAGUGGCACCAACUGUCCAGGGUUUUUUUUUUCUUUUCAUUUUUCCAGGAGUCGCCUUCGGUUCAGCAUAUUUACACCCCCCCCAUCUUUUACUUCUCCACCCAGAACCUCCUGUGAAUAAAGGAGCAGGAGGUAAAAGCUGGCCGAGGGCU